rnacentral:antisense_RNA from 1 species
UUUUGCAUCCUUUUUGUGUUGCAUAAUGCCGUUACCCACCGCAUGCAACAAGUGAGUCUUACCAAGACCUGUGCCACCGU